rnacentral:misc_RNA from 1 species
CGCACCUUGCGCUCUCUGGUAUUCCGGAGAGCAUGUCUGUUUGAGUGUCAUGAACUCUUCAACCUACCGAUUUCUAGUAAAUCGGAUUAGUGUUUGGAUUUUGAACGCUUGCUGGCCUUUAUUGGCGAAGCUCGUUCGUAAAUGAUUAGCAUCUCAUAUUCGAAAAUCGGAUUGACUCAGUGUAAUAGACUAUUCGCUGAGGACGCUCUUUCGGGAGUGGCCGAGUUUUGUAAAGUAGAAGCUUCUAAUUCUAUUAGUCAACUUUAGAUUAGACCUCAGAUCAGGCAGGAUUACCCGCUGAACUUAA